rnacentral:rRNA from 1 species
GGCGUGCCUAACACAUGCAAGUUGAGCGGUAAGGCCCCUUCGGGGGUACACGAGCAGCGAACGGGUGAGUAUCGCGUGGGUAACCUACCCAGAGGUGGAGGAUAGCCCCGGGAAACCGGGGGUAAUACUGCAUAUGUCCUCGAUGACAUAAGUCGACGAGGGCAAAGGCGGGGAUUCUUCGGAACCUGUCGCCUUUGGAUGGGCCCGCGUCCGAUUAGCUUGUUGGUGGGGUAACGGCCCACCAAGGCUGCGAUCGGUAGCCGGCCUGAGAGGGUGAACGGCCACAUUGGGACUGAGACACGGCCCAGACUCCUACGGGAGGCAGCAGUGGGGAAUUUUGGGCAAUGGGGGAAACCCUGACCCAGCGACGCCGCGUGGAGGAUGACGGCCUUCGGGUUGUAAACUCCUGUCAGGUGGGAAGAAGAGCUUCGUGGCUAAUAUCCACGAGGAAUUGACGGUACCACCAAAGGAAGCCCCGGCUAACUCCGUGCCAGCAGCCGCGGUAAUACGGAGGGGGCAAGCGUUAUUCGGAUUUACUGGGCGUAAAGCGCACGUAGGUGGCAUGGUAAGUCAAAGGUGAAAGCCCUCGGCUCAACCGAGGAACUGCCUUUGAAACUGCUUUGCUUGAGUCCGGGAGGGGGGAGCGGAAUUCCCAGUGUAGCGGUGAAAUGCGUAGAUACUGGGAG